CCUACGGGAGGCAGCAGUAGGGAAUAUUGCUCAAUGGGGGAAACCCUGAAGCAGCAACGCCGCGUGAAGGAUGAAGGUUUUCGGAUUGUAAACUCCUUUUGUUAGAGAAGAUAAUGACGGUAUCUAACGAAUAAGCACCGGGUAACUCCGUGCCAGCAGCCGCGGUAAUACGGGGGGUGCAAGCGUUACUCGGAAUUACUGGGCGGAAAGAGCGCGUAGGCGGGAUAGCAAGUCAGAUGUGAAAUCCUAUGGCUUAACCAUAGAACUGCAUUUGAAACUGUUAUUCUAGAGUAUGGGAGAGGUAGGUGGAAUGCUUGGUGUAGGGGUAAAAUCCGUAGAGAUCAAGAGGAAUACUCAUUGCGAAGGCGACCUGCUAGAACAUAACUGACGCUGAUGCGCGAAAGCGUGGGGAGCAAACAGGAUUAGAUACCCUUGUAGUC
rnacentral:rRNA from 1 species